AAAGUUUGGAGUCAGCGUAAAACAUGUGAACUCCCUGGUAAAAAGUUACCUGCUGUCACUGAUCACCUUUUUUGUUUCAUUUUAUUUUCUUUUAAAAGCCAGGCAAGCAUUAAGAGAGUCUGAGGCAAUUGAAAUGAAGGUUUAUGGGAAUUUACAGGUCAGCUCUUUGACAUGGGUGUUGCACUUGGUGCUGGAAAUUCUGUGUUUGGAUGAUCAGAUCCACCUGUAUCCCAUGAAACAUGGAUAUACCUGUUCCUGAGGUGAGGAAUACCCAUGGCCCUGUGGGGUACCAGGCUUAAAAUCUGUUUUUUGGUGCAGAGUC
rnacentral:lncRNA from 12 species